CAGACAGCCAAUCCGGUUUCAAAGUCGAAGGUCAAUCACUCCAGAGGAAGUUUGAAAGAACUCCUCUCAUUGGACAAGAACAUGAAUGGGGUGUGAAUAACUUCUAAGUUUUAAAACCCCCGCUGCCCCUUACCUGUGCGGACUCUUUCUCCAGAUCCCCUCCCACGGCAACUUGGGAGAUGUCUCUCCCUCUUUACCUGUACAGAUGUUCCUCUCUGGAAUCCCCUCCCACAACAAGAUGCCACAAGAAGUCCCUCAGCAUAUGCCGGAUCUUGAUAUUAGACUUCCCAGGCUCUAGAAGUAAAUACCUGCCUCAACCUACUCAGGUUUCAACCUCCUCCAUUUUCAUGAUAAUUUGAAGAUACCUACCUGACACAUAGUAAAUGUGAAGAUCAUUGACAAAAAAAAUUGGGGUUGAAAAUAUGGCUUGCUAGCUACCAUCCAUUUCAAUAUUCUUCUAAAAUGCUUUCUUCCUUGGCAAAAUUAAAAAUCUAAAAACUGUAUUUCCCAGAGUCCUUUGCAUUGUUGUUCUUGGUUUGAUUUAACUGACACCACAUAGAUAUACUCCUGCAAUUUUGACAAAUGGAAGGGAAGAAUAUUUUGUAGGCCACUCUUUCUAUUUCUUCAGGCAAAUAUCAUCGUGGAUAUUUUCAUUGUUUUUCUCUCAGCUUCCUGGUACU
rnacentral:lncRNA from 13 species